UAAUAAUAAAAAAAAAAAAAGAAGAAAUCAAGAACAACAAAAGACCAACAGCAGCUGUAGUAGUAGUUUUUGUUGGGGUUUCCAUUUUUAAUUAUAAUUAUUGAUUUUGUUUUGUGAUAAAUAGAAAAAAACACGAAAUUAAAUUCUUUUUUGGUUUUAUUUAGAUCAUUAUUUGCUUUUCUUGUGUGGUGAUUGGUGAAGUUUGUCAACUUGUCAAUGUAUUUAAAAAAAAAAAAAAA
rnacentral:misc_RNA from 1 species